rnacentral:rRNA from 1 species
UACGAACGUGUGCGAACGUUAUUCGGAAUCACUGGGCUUACAGGGUGCGUAGGCGGCUAUUCAGGUCAGGUGUGAAAGCCCUCGGCUCAACCGAGGAACUGCGCUUGAAACCGGAUGGCUCGAGUCAACUAGAGGUGCACGGAACUUCCAAGUGGAGCGGUGAAAUGUGUUGAUAUUGGAAGGAACACCGGAGGCGAAAGCGGUGCACUGGGGUUGGUCGUGACGCUGA